rnacentral:tRNA from 1 species
AGGGAGAUAGCUCAGGCUGUCAGAGCACAGGACUUGCAUUCCUGAGACCCAGAGACUAGAAAGGUAAGCAGUGCCCAGGUGUCUCUCUCUCUG